CGGCCACCACCUCACCUUAUAUGUGCUGCUUCUCCAGGGUCCGGGCACCUAAUUAGUGGAGCCACGCCUGCAGGGCUCCACUAAUUAGGUGAGUGGCCCUUCAUUCUCUUGUGUGGCUGCCCAAGCACGCACCAUACAGGGAACUAUCCAUGGACCACCUGAACGGAGCUCGUGGACCACUGGUGGUCCAGGGACCACAAUUUGAGAACCUCUGAGCUAGGAGAUGGGUAUAGCACACCAUAGAGGUAUUUUUUUCCAUUGAAAUCUCCUUUGUGCAUAUCUAAACAUGAAAAGAACUGUGCUGCAUUUUAGGGAAGGCAGUUCAGCCACUGGCUUUAGCUGCUGCCUCCCAUCUCCAGUCAACAGUGCAAGUCAGAGAGGAAGGAAGAAGAAAAGCUAAACAGCACAGAUGACACCUAUCCAAGUCUCUGCUUAUUGAGGUUUCUGCUCAUUUAAUUUAUUCAGUUUUAUUUCAUAUCCAGGGUAUUAAUCUCCUGCAGAACUCAGGCUAUUAAUCUUGACGCACCUGGUGGCAUUUUAAGGAUCUGCAGAAGAACCGUUGGCUCAACCUACUGGGAUUAAACUGUCACCCAAAUCACUUUAUUUGUGAUCAGCAUGAUUUUGAGAAACCAAACAUUCACGAAAGGACACUCUUGAAUAGGAGUCUCUCAGAGCAAAAAUACAAGUAACCGCACUCCAGUUUGAGUCAUCAGGUAAAUUUGCUGCAAACUAUUUUUUCUGUCUGCACCUUUGGUUUUUGUA